rnacentral:rRNA from 1 species
UGAGCUGCUGGAUUUCUCAAGAGACUUAUCCGGCCGGCUACAGACCCUUUAGACCCAAUAAUAACGGUUACCACUCGAGCCGCCGGUGUUACCGCGGCGGCUGGCACCGGUCUUGCCCGGCCCUUGCUAUGCAAUGCUUUUUGGGCAUCACGACAGCCAGAUUUGUGACCUGGCACUCGAGGUCCCCUUAUCGCCGUUGCCGGCAUUGUAAAGUUUUCGCGCCUGCUGCACCCCGUAGGGCCUGGAUUCGUGUCUCAGAAUCCAUCUCCGGGCUCUUGCUCUCACAACCCGUACCCGUCGUAGGCUAGUAGGUACGCUACACCCACUACUACCUGAUAGGCCGCAGACCCAUCCUCUGGCGCCGGAGCUUUCGAUCUCGGGGCAUUCCAGCGACCGAGAUCUAUCGGGGAUUAUACCCAGUUUCCCGGGUUUAUACCCGUCCGGA